CCCACCUUUACCUCCGAAAGUGCUGAGAUUACAGGCAUGAGCCACCUCACCCAGCCAGGAUCCUGUUUAUUAUAUUUACUCUAGUAUCCUUAGUGCCUGGUACAUAGUAGAUGCUCAAUAAUAUCUUUCGAAUGAAUGAAUUCAUGAAUGAAAGGUUAAAAUGCAAAGAGAUUUAGGGUCCAAGUGGAGGGUUCCUAGGGUCUUCCUAGUUGAGUAGGAGACAGAGUGACCAAAGAGCAGGUGGAAGAUGGAGGUGAGGUAGAGGAUUUGCGGAGAAUGGAGAACAUCUGGGAAGGGGAGAGGAAGGAUGAGGAAUUUGACAAGAGAAAACUGGAGCAUAAAUAUGUUCUUACACACCUAAUCCAGGCCAUCUGGUGUCGAGGCGACAAGAAUGGAGACCAUGGAGGAGUGGAGUGGACUGGGCUGUGACCUGCCAAGGGGGGAAUGGCAUGAUCACAUCUGUCUCUCAGCUGUCUUCAGGAUGCCAUGAAACGACACACACACAAUAAGGGCACCAUCAAUGUGAGUUGCUCUUUUUUAUUAUUAUUGGCUAUAGCUGAAAAAAAAAAUAAUGGUUAAUCUGUUAAUAAUAUACCUGUGGCCUAGAAAAAGUAUGAAAAAGAAUUCAAGAGUGGACAAAUGUUUUCUUCAAGUGCCGGGUAAAAUAUUUUAAGUGAGUUCUGUUGCAGCUUCUCAAUUCCUCUGUUGCCGUGUAAAAGCGCCCAUAGACAAUGCAUUAAGAAACAGGCAGGCGGCCAGAUGCGGUGGCUCACGCCUGUAAUUAAUCCCAGCACUUUGGGAGGCUGAGGUGGGCAGAAUGCUUGAAUCUAGGAGUUCAAGACCAGUCUGAGCAACAUGGCGAAACCCUAUCUCUACAAAAAAUACAAAAAAUUAGCUGGGCAUGGUGGCAUGCACAAGUAGUCCCAGCUACUUGGGAGGAUGAGAUGGGAGGAUUGCCUGAGCCAGGGGAGG
rnacentral:lncRNA from 1 species